CCGGAUCCGGGAAAGCCGGCGUGAAUCCACGAGGACCACCUCGUAAGGCUAAGUAUACGUAGCGACCGAUAGUGCAACAGUACCGUGAGGGAAAGGUGAAAAGUACCCCGGGAGGGGAGUGAAAUAGUACCUGAAACCGUUGGUUUACAAUCAGUCAAAGCGUCGUCCACUUGUGGGCCGCGAUGGCGUGCCUUUUGAAGAAUGAGCCUGCGAGUUACGGUGUGUGGCGAGGUUAACCAGUGAUGGGGAGCCGGAGCGAAAGCGAGUCUGAACAGGGCGUUCAGUCGCAUGCUGUCGACCCGAAGCCAAGUGAUCUAUCCAUGGCCAGGUUGAAGCGGGGGUAAGACCCCGUGGAGGACCGAACACACGUCAGUUGAAAAUGGCGGUGAUGAGCUGUGGAUAGGGGUGAAAGGCCAAACAAACUUGGUGAUAGCUGGUUCUCCUCGAAAUGCAUUUAGGUGCAGCGUCGUGCUGUUCAGUCUCGGAGGUAGAGCACUGGAUGGGCUAGGGGGCCUACAAGCUUACCGAACCCAGCCAAACUCCGAAUGCCGAGACUCCAGAGCGCGGCAGUGAGACCACGGGGGAUGAGCUUCGUUGGUCGAAAGGGAAACAGCCCAGACCGUCAGCUAAGGCCCCUAAUUCGGACUAAGUGGUAAACGAUGUGGGAUUGCACAG
rnacentral:ncRNA from 1 species